ensembl:lncRNA
GUGUGUGUGUGUGUGUGUGUGUGUGUGUGUGUGUGUGUGUGUGUGUGUGUGUGUGUCGGAAGAUUUUUGAGCAUCGCUAGGGUUCUACUGUGGGUGGAUGGGUGUGUCACACCUGGCAUGGGGUUCUACGUGUGUGUUUCCGGCUUGCUUUGACAGUGAUAAUGUUCAUACGGGGGUCUGUGAUUGGCUUGGGAUAUUGGAAUGGUCAACUAAAUCAUACCUGAUGGACGGCCACACGUUUACUCAAGGGCCUCCAGUAGACAUGAAGAGCCCUGAGCGACGCUCCGGAGCGAUAUCAACACACUGGGCAGGAAGGAGAGUAUCAAACUCGAGUGUAAAAGGAUGCAAGCGGCGUGUUCAGAUCAGUGACUUCAAACUAGGACUACACCAAUCAGGAUCAAUGGAGGAUGGACCCCAAAAGGAAUUCCACAAGGAGAGUCUGACGUUGGAAAGGGACCUAAAUGGAUAUUCAAGAUGACCUUCAGACCUGUAAUGAGAUGGCUCUUCCUACCUGGCUGGAUUGAUGGAGAGCCCUGUGGAUCUUGUCUUGCUCUCAGUUGCACGUCUUCUCAGGCUGAACUGUAUUUGUUUCGGACAGGACUAGCUGAACGAUUGGUUCCCUUAAAUCCGAACCAAUCCGGGAACUCCAGCUAGUGCGCUCUUCGAGCUGAAGUUGUGUUCUUCAGCUGAGGAGGUAAGGAAACCUUCGCUGGGGCUUCAAGGUGUAAAGAGGAGAAUGUUUCAAAGUGUUCCAUGGUACUCUGAUGAAGACCGUUGUGUUCCACUGGCUGAGAGGAAGAACCCACCCAUCUUCCUCUUGGCCUUUCUCCUGAGAAUCCUGGCGCUAUCUUGUAGGAUAUUCCAGCUCAUGUAACUGAUGUCACGACAGAUUCUCAAACACUUGUUUUCUCCUGAGGGGCAUGUCUAUAGAACUGAAGACUUCAGACAGCACUGUAUCCCAGUAUGCAUCUCUGCUCACUCAGAGCACACCCCCAUGAGUAGGAUGCAACACUCUAGUGAUGGCGAUGUAGAGUUUUAUAAGUAACGAGGGAGCAGACUAAGGUGAUUAGAACACAAUGUAAUGUCAAGUCUGUAAAUCUUUAAACCAUGAAGAUGGUUGGAUAGUUCAGGAAUCGGUUUCUUUUUAUUAUGGGCAGUCCUUUCACUCAGAUGCCCACUUCUCACUGGAGCUGUAUAUGUGUUGGCUGGCUGGCAUGAUUUGCUGUUGGUGAUGAGGCGGUCAGGGUGACGUUGCAGGGCUAUGGUCGGCUCUCUGUGAGCUCAACGUUUAGAUUUGCUCUGUGUGGUUUGUACCCUGAAUAAUCUAGAUAAUUGUAAAAUGUAGACGCGGUUUUGUAUUGAAUUGACUCCAGGAUUUUAGGUUUAAAGUUGUUGUGGGACGUACAUGGUAGUUUGGUUCUUCGUAUGGUUUUGAGUGAUAUAACUUGUACACACUGGGUGCAUAAUAAUGUAAAGUUACACUGAAUAGUAGUAUUGACCAACAGCAACAAACAGAUCUCCUCAAGGUAAGUCUGUUGGCUGUGUUUUAAUGAAGACCAUCGCUGGACUUCAGGAUCUUCCUCCGUUCAGCUCAAGGUGAGGCGCUGGUUCUGUUUUUUCUUUGGUUGGUUCCGGCCGGAAUGUUCGGAUUCCAGUCGGACGGUUCGUGCUUCCCGCCGUGGAAGGUUCUGAGUGCGGUCACUUGAUUUAGUCCCAAUGGUUAGCAUAGAACGUUGUAGUCUUGACAACCAUAAGAAACCACCUGGCAGUUAGUUGGACAUGAGUCCCCUGAGGGAAUCUGGCGAACGUUCUGGAUUGUAUUUGCGUAACCUCGAGCCGUUGCCAACGGAAACUAUUUUUCAGUCGGUUUCUAUUGGGAAUUGUUGCCCCUAUCUUAAACAACUUAAGUUUGAUAUUAAAUACAUACUGAGACAUACGUCGUACAAUAUAUUGAUAAUUUCCGAUGGUUGCGCCGUACUUUUAACCACGAUGACGUGACGGGACUCUCACUGCGUACAAAACGGCGAUCUACUUGCGGGCCCAUUUUUGACAUCCGGGAAGGCUGAAAAUCAUUUCAAGGUGGAAGAUGAUUUUGACAUUUCUUCAACGGAACCCAGCACCUGAAUAUGGCUGAGUAUGUUUGAUUUAAUAUCGAUACUGCUUGGUGUUCUUUGUUACUUCAGCUUUUGUACGUUCUAAAUAUCUGCUGUCAUUAAUUGCCACAGAAGUUAAACCCUAACCAAUGGAAUGACGUUAAACAACGACUUUGGUGCAGAGUUACCAACUGGAUAAUAUCAAAGCUAAAAUAAUUGCCGUCAUUCCCACAUGUUACAGUAGAAGAUACUCUAGAACUGUACAAGGUUAAAAAUGUAACAUGUAGUUUGUCCCAAGGUGUCUGCCUCCUCACCUAAAGCAAGACCUCCACCUCCUCACCCAGAGCCAGACCUCCACCUCCUGUCAGAAGUCCUCCAGAACAGCUGAAAGGCGAGGCUGAGAGGCUGGGGACCGGAGGCUUGUGGUGCCAGGGUGGACCGGAGACUGAGGCUGGAGACCAGGGGCCUGCAGCACCGGACCAGAGGACCAGGAAUCCAUGGCUGAAGGAGCUGAUGGAGGAGUCGUGCUGAAGGCCCUGCCUGGUGGAGGAGCUGGUGGAGGCCCUGCCUGGUGGAGGAGCUGGUGGAGGCCCUGCCUGGUGAAGGACCUGCCUGACCAGGACUCUGUCGGAGGAGAGCUGAUGGAGGAGCUGAGACACUGGAGGACGACUAGGAAUCGACCAACAAGGAUUCCUCAACGUGUUUCUGGAGCGGAGGCGAGCUGGUAGGGGAGCCGUGAAUCUGGAGGAUGACCAUCACUCUACCAACAAGGAUUACUUUAGGGCCAGACUCGUGCUGUUUGUUCCAGACCAGGACUCUGAUGGAGGAGAGCUGAUGGAGGAGCCAAGACUCUGGAGGAUGACAUCACUCCACCAACCAGGAUCCUCACGAAUUACGUUUGCAAGCAGACCAGGAAUCUGGAGGACUGAUGGAGAAGCCGUACAUCUGGAAGGCAAAUCCUGAGGACCACCAGGACUCUACCGUCAAGGAUCUGGACAUAGUGGACCAGACACACCUGAGCUGAACCUCACCUGAUCCUGUUUGGUCUGGGCAGACACCCCUGAGCUGAACCUCACCUGAUCCUGUUUGGUCGGGGGUAGACACACCCGAGCUAAACCCGCCCUGAUCCUGACAUCCUGCUGGUCCCGUCUCCUCAGUUCAUCUGAGCCUCGUCCUCCAGAAGACCUGCUGAGCUCAGCAGUCUGAGGCUGAUGGAUCAAUGACCUCCAGUGGGAGUGAUCCUCUUGACCCCACAUGUAACUGUGUGCUUCCACACGCCUUUCCCUCACAUCUGUCACUAACCUCACUACUUCACAACUCUCUACUGCUUCCUCUUUUCGUCCUUCUCUGUGGUUCAAACCUUAACACUGAAGGCGCGUCUUCCUGCCCUCGGAGGGUUUAGCGUUAGGGUUGAGAGUCAGGGUUUAGAGUCAGGGACAGAGCUGGUCAGGGAGGACUGCUUUUACACAAACCUCUUCACUUGCUUUCGGAAUGGUGGUGACAUUUUGAAAAGAUUAAAUUUGGGAAACUGUUUUCCUCUGCUUUCCUUUACAAAAUUGUAUUAAACUUCUGUCAAGUGUUUUUGUUUAUACAUUAAAAUCCCACAUUGACUUCUACAUGUUUGAUGUGGUUCAUUUAAUUGUCCUUUAACUUGGUUAAGGUCAAGCUACACUCCUGCAAUUCCAUUUAAUCAUGAUUGGCAUUCAGCAAUGUUCACAUAAUCCAUUUUGUAAAAAU